rnacentral:rRNA from 1 species
CGCGGAGGGAUCAUUA